GACGAACGCUGGCGGCGUGCUUAACACAUGCAAGUCGAACGGUAAGGCCCUUCGGGGUACACGAGUGGCGAACGGGUGAGUAACACGUGGGUGAUCUGCCCUGCACUUCGGGAUAAGCCUGGGAAACUAGGUCUAAUACCGGAUAGGACCCUGGGAUGCAUGUCCUGGGGUGGAAAGCUUUUGCGGUGUGGGAUGGGCCCGCGGCCUAUCAGCUUGUUGGUGGGGUGAUGGCCUACCAAGGCGACGACGGGUAGCCGGCCUGAGAGGGUGACCGGCCACACUGGGACUGAGAUACGGCCCAGACUCCUACGGGAGGCAGCAGUGGGGAAUAUUGCACAAUGGGCGCAAGCCUGAUGCAGCGACGCCGCGUGAGGGAUGACGGCCUUCGGGUUGUAAACCUCUUUCAGCACCGACGAAGCGCAAGUGACGGUACCUGCAGAAGAAGCACCGGCUAACUACGUGCCAGCCGCCGCAGUAA
rnacentral:rRNA from 1 species